ACCAGCAGCUAGCUCUCUGCAUCUCUCACAUGGUCACACAUUGAAGCUAAGCAGGGCUGAGCCUGGUCCGUACCUGGAAGGGAGACCACAUGGGAAAGCUAGGUUGCUGCUGAAA
ensembl:rRNA 5S_rRNA 5S ribosomal RNA